UGUCAAAGUACAAAGUACUGUAAACAUAACUGUUGAAAAUCCUACGGAUCUGUGGAAAAGAAACCAGCUGCUUACAAUUACAUCAAAGAAGUGGCCAGGAAGGAGAGUGUGUGAAAGCAAACCCAACACGAGAAUUUAAAAUGACUGACUCUGAAAGUCAUAAGUAGCAAAGAUUGAGGAGAGCAGGCCGUGCCUAACUUAUGAUCAGGAACAAUCCAAAAUAAAGCAAAGGUUCUGGAGAGAGAUUAGAAGAUUGACAGAGCAACUGGAAUGCACAAGCAGAAAAUUAAUAAUGCAGGACCUCCAGACAGAUCACUGCUGCCCUUAGAAGUAACUGGUUUGCUGGUUGCGGUGCCAGUCACUGAUGAGACAAUGUAAAACCAGCCAGCCAUGAAUAGAAACAAGACUGGAGAAAGAAGAAUGGAGAAAAAGAGGGGGAAAAAAAAAAUAAGGAGGAGAGCACAGAAGAAAGGAAUAAUAAAAGCUGCAUGGAUUUGUAUGCACUCAUUUUUCCAUCAUCAUGCUAACCUUCACCACUCCUUAAGCUUUAGGGAUUCUAAGUAUAAAUUUAGUCUUUAGCAUAAUAUUUUAGUUGUUCGUGAAUGAGCAACACUCCUGUAGAAGUGGCAGAAUCCAGACUUAGCACUUACAUGUUAGCAUUUUAAGGCUGACACGUUCUGCUAUCCUUUACUUUCUAGUUUUAUGGUAUUUUAAUUACAGCCCACAGGCCUUCAACGGCCUUCUGCCACUUGAGCUGGAGUUCAACUUCAGGUAACCUCUCUAUCUAUUAGGACCUCCUGCUGAGUUAUCAGUUAUUAAGGUAAUGCAACCUUACUCUAGUAUAAAAAUAAUGUAGAAAUAGCUUUCAAGAAGAGAAAAAGACUUUCCUUCCUCAAAUGCAUCUUCCUUAAUAACAAAAGGAAAUCUAUAUAAAUUGGUGCAAAGUCCUUGUGGUAGAAUUCUUACUGGCUCUUGAUUAAAAGAUACCUUUCCUCAGAAAGCUGGACGUAGGGGCUUUGCUUUACACUAAUUGACACAUAUAGUGUUUGUUUAGUUAAGAUGGAUAUGGUUUAUUAACAUCUGUGACCCCAGAAAAUCACACAAAAGUUCAAAGGCAGACAAAUGCUCACUCUGCAUCCACCCAUAUAGUCAUUGAGUAGAAUAUAUCAAUUCCAAUAGAUAAAAGAUUAAUUUUUGGGGGUGCUUUUUUUUUUCUUUUUAACCAAUUCAUAGUCUUUUUUUUUUUUUCUUUUUACCACAGUAGUA
rnacentral:lncRNA from 1 species